CGCCACAUGUCGGCGGUACUUUUUCUUUGCCCUUAGGAUAAAACCAUAAGAUUUAAGGGGGCCAAGCGGCCACAACACUGUAGCAGCUGCAAUUAUUCAGGAUCCGCGGGGAAGGGACGUGGCUCUUGUGUUCACCGCUGCAUAUAACUCGGGACCUGGCAAAGAAUGGCCUCUCCGUCAAUCCCGAAUCAAGAACUGAAGAGAGGAACAACUGAAGGGCUCCUCCUGGGAUCCUGCUCCCCCUUCCCCAUCCCUGCCUGGACCAGCGAGGGCGGAGCCGCGGAGCAACCAGAGUCGGAGGUCUUCCGGGCAGCCUAGAGCGGCCCGACAGCGAGCGCGCUGACCCCGCCCCGGGCGCUGACCCCGCCCCGGUCGCUGACCCCGCCCCGGGCCACUUCCGGCGGCCGAGCUCCUCCCGCCGGGUGCGCCCCGCCUGCUCUGGGCGGUUGACAUACGUGGUGUCUGAAGUGGGAUCUGAAGGAGGCGACCCUCAAGAGACGAUGGGCCCCAGAAUUGAGCGAGGUACCUGCUCUGGGCCCCUGGAGCUCAUGGCUUCUGUGAGUCAUGGCCUACUUUUGGUUUGGGACUAUACCAGGUCCUCCUCAUUACUCAUAUGGCAGCGAAUCUUCACGGACUUGAGCCUUGGGUGCACAUCUCACAGCUAAAGAAGACUCCACCUAACAUCUAGCCCUUUACAAACGCUGCAGACCUCAAAUCAAAUUGACCAGGAAGAGAAGCAGGUGACAUCUGAGGCAGAGAGCUUUCCCAAGACGACCAGACCAGGCCUGUAUAUUCUCUUCCCACUGUUGCUUCUUCUCUCUCUCUUUCGUGGAAAGAC